AACCUGGUUGAUCUUGCCAGUAGUCAUAUGCUUGUCUCAAAGAUUAAGCCAUGCAAGUGAAAGUAUAUGCAUAUUUUAUAUGUAGAAACUGCGAACGGCUCAUUAAAACAGUUAUAAUCUACUUGAAAUUUCUACCUUACAAGGAUAACUACGGAAAAGCUGUAGCUAAUACUUGCUUUAAUGCGUUUGAAUCCUUUUGGAUUCCCGCGUAUGUACUUGUUAAGCCUUUAAGAAAGAAGUUUAUAACUUAAGGAAUUAUAACAAAGAAGUAACACAUAAUAAGGUUGCCUUAUUUAGUGUGUAUCAAUCGAGUUUCUGACCUAUCAGCUUUUGAUGUUAGGGUAUUGGCCUAACAUGGCUAUGACGGGUAACGGGGAAUUAGAGUUCGAUUCCGGAGAGGGAGCCUGAGAAAUAGCUACCACAUCUAAGGAAGGCAGCAGGCGCGUAAAUUACCCAAUUCUAAAGAAGAGAGGUAGUGACAAGAAAUAACAAUACAAGGCCAUUUCAUGGUUUUGUAAUUGGAAUGAUGGGAAUUUAAAACCUUCCCAAAAUUCAAUUGGAGGGCAAGUCUGGUGCCAGCAGCCGCGGUAAUUCCAGCUCCAAUAGCGUAUAUUAAAAUUGUUGCAGUUAAAACGCUCGUAGUUGAAUUUCAAAGAAUCAAUAUUUUAAGUAAUACUUUUGCUAUAAGAUGCUUAGACAAUACAACGUAUCUGUUCUUUGCAUUCCUUAUGCAAAAUGUGUUCUUAUUAUAAAAAGGAUUCUUUUUAAAAUCUCUUUUGCUAUUUUUUAGUAUUGGAGAUUUUGUUACUUUGAGUAAAUUAGAGUGUUCAAAGCAAACAGUUAAAGCAUUUUUACUGCGUUUGAAUACUACAGCAUGGAAUAACAAAAUUGAACAAGUCAGAAUUCUGUUCUUUUUUCUUAUUUUGGCUUAGUUACGAUUAAUAGGAGUAGCUUGGAGGCAUUUGUAUUCAGAUGUCAGAGGUGAAAUUCUUAGAUUUUCUGGAGACAAACAACUGCGAAAGCAUUUGCCUAAAAUACUUCCAUUAAUCAAGAACGAAAGUUAAGGGAGUGAAGACGAUCAGAUACCGUCGUAAUCUUAACCAUAAACUAUGCCGACUAGGUUUUGGAUGAAACAUUUUUAAAUAAGAGAAUUCCUUUCGGGGAAAUUUCUUAGAUUGCUUCUUUCAGUACCUUAUGAGAAAUCAAAGUCUUUGGGUUCUGGGGCGAGUAUUCGCGCAAGCGAGAAAGUUAAAAGAAUUGACGGAAGGGCACCACCAGGCGUGGAGCUUGCGGCUUAAUUUGACUCAACACGGGGAAACUCACUAGUUUAAGACAAGAGUAGGAUUGACAGAUUAAUAGCUCUUUCUUGAUUUCUUGGAUGGUGAUGCAUGGCCGUUUUUAGUUCGUGAAUAUGAUUUGUCUGGUUAAUUCCGAUAACGAACGAGAUCUUAACCUGCUAAUUAGCGGCGAAUACGUGAUAUUCUUAUGCGAAAUUGAAUAUAGCUGAAUUUGCUUAUUUUGAAGAAUACAUUAGGAUACAAUUAAUGUGUCCUUUUCCCUAUUCUUCUUAAUUCGCAAUUCAUGCUGUUUCUCUUUUGCAUUAGAAUGUAUUCGUUUGAUUGUAAAGCUUCUUAGAGGAACGAUGUGUGUCUAACACAAGGAAGUUUAAGGCAACAACAGGUCUGUGAUGUCCUUAGAUGAACUAGGCUGCACGCGUGCUACACUGAUAUGUAAAACGAGUUACUAAAAAUAUACUUUUGUUAGGGUAUUUUAUAUACUCUUUCAAAUUGUAUAGUUUUCCUCCACUGAAAAGUGUAGGUAAUCUUUAUCAGUACAUAUCGUGAUGGGGAUAGAUUAUUGCAAUUAUUAAUCUUGAACGAGGAAUGCCUAGUAAGCAUGAUUCAUCAGAUUGUGCUGACUACGUCCCUGCCCUUUGUACACACCGCCCGUCGCUCCUACCGAUUGAAAGAUAUGAUGAAUUGUUUGGACAAGAAAAGAAAGAAUUUAUAUUCUUUUUUUUCUGGAAAAACCGUAAAUCCUAUCUUUUAAAGGAAGGAGAAGUCGUAACAAGGUUUCCGUAGGUGAACCUGCGGAAGGAUCAUUA
rnacentral:rRNA from 1 species